AACAACUCGAGGGCGGAGGCCAGGGAACUGCCGCCCGGCUUUACGUAACUUGACCCACAGGCGGGCGGCGGCAGGUGGCUGCACCCGGCGAGCAAGGUGCUCGAAGCCCCGAGAACGCAGGACGCCGCUCGGGCAGCGAGACGGCCGGGAAGCACGAGAGGCCGGGGAGCGGCGGCGGCCUCCUUACCUUUCCAGAUGCCCAGAGAGAGCUGGGACGUGUCCAAGUCCACCACAUAGUCCCCCAAGAACCGGUUCAACACGUCCACGACCACCGACUCGAAAACCAUGUUCCUCAGCCGUGGUGGGCACGGCAGCCGGCCCGUGCGCUCCUCCUCCCGCCGCCUUCCCCACGCCCCUCCCUCGAGAGUGACACGCUUCCCUGCAGAUAAGAGUUAGAGUCAGCCGGUCUGGAAACUGCUGAACACCCUCCAAGAAAUACUGGGAGUGCUGGACCCUUGACCCCUAUGCCUCCACCGAACCACUGACCUAAAAUAAAUUACAAUUACAGAUCUUUCG
rnacentral:antisense_RNA from 1 species